rnacentral:tRNA from 8 species
GCGAUAGUAGUCUAAUGGUAGGACAGGGGCUUCCCAAGCCUCUAGUCCGGGUUCGAUCCCCGGCUAUCGCA